UACGUAGGCAGCGAGCGUUGUUCGGAGUUACUGGGCGUAAAGGGUGUGUAGGCGGUUCUUUAAGUUUGGUGUGAAAUCUCCCGGCUCAACCGGGAGGGUGCGUCGAAUACUGAGGGACUAGAGUGCGGGAGAGGAAAGUGGAAUUCCUGGUGUAGCGGUGAAAUGCGUAGAUAUCAGGAGGAACACCGGUGGUGUAGACGGCUUUCUGGACCGUAACUGACGCUGAGACACGAAAGCGUGGGCAGCAAACAGG
rnacentral:rRNA from 1 species